rnacentral:lncRNA from 10 species
GUAAUAAUUAAUGCUUGAAUUUUUACUAUGUCGUCAUCCUAAUGCAGUGAAAUUUUAUCACCACAGACAUUUCAGUCUAAGGCAGGGAUGUCCAAUCAUUUGGCUUCCCUGGGCCACACAUAAAAUACACCAACACUAAUGAUAGCUGAUGAGCUUAAAAAAAAAUCUCAUCAUGUGUUAAGAAAGUUUACGAAUUUGUGUUUGGCCCCAUGUGGCCUGUGGCUGGGGAAGCUCGGUGUAAGGAUAUAGUGUGGUUUGAUGUUGAGAGUUUAUGAAGCUGCUAAGUCACUGAAUGGGAAAGCUGGUAACAUAUUAUCUGUAGAGUUGUGUUAUACAUCCCUUUAUAGAUUCUGAAUAACUGCUAUAAAGCCUCAAUCUAGAAAAACACAACUUUUGAUAUGAUUUCACAAAAUCCUUGAAACCUAUUUAUGAAUCUCUGUGAGCUCUAGUUUGAAAAUUUUGUUUAAAAUUUUGAGUUAAUAAAAAGUUAUAUUUUUCCUAUAUUCUUUCUUUGGAACACAGCUUUUAUGUCUGGCUGUGCUCCACCGGUUCUCUUAGCUUUGCUCCUAGCCAGGUAAGGCAUAAAGCCUACACUCUUACGACUACCCACUUUUUCUUUCACAAAAUUCAGCUAUUAGUGUGAAAAAGUUUUCUUAAAAACUUGGUUUUCCUUUUAGCCAUGCGUUGAUCAACUUAAAGACUUCAUGGAUACUGUUUCAAUAUUAUUGAUUACCUGUCAGAAACUUGCCUAAAAAGCAGGCAUACCAUUUAUCAGUGUUUUGGUAAACUGAAGUGAGAUACAAUUUCACAUACAUUUAAUGUUAAUGCUGUACUAGAACCCUGCUCAACUAAUUACUCAUUCAACUUAUUUAAGACCAGCUUCUAGAAAAUACUUAUUAGUGCUUGGCAUUUAUACAAUGCUAAGUUCUAG